CCCUCGGUAGCUCAGUUGGAAGAGCGUGGGACUGUAAUUGGAAAGAUCUUGCUUACAUAAUCCCGAGGCCAUUGGUUCGAUCCCGAUCUGAGGGA
rnacentral:tRNA from 1 species